rnacentral:misc_RNA from 1 species
UGUAGGAGCCGGCUUGCUGGCGAUAGCGGUGUGUCAGUUGGCAUUUAUGCUGCCUGAUACACCGCUAUCGCCAGCAAGCCGGCUCCUACA